UACGGAGGAUGCAAGCGUUAUCCGGAAUGAUUGGGCGUAAAGCGUCCGCAGGUGGCUGUGUAAGUCUGCUGUCAAAGAGCAAAGCUCAACUUUGUAAAGGCAGUGGAAACUACACGGCUAGAGUGCGUUCGGGGCAGAGGGAAUUCCUGGUGUAGCGGUGAAAUGCGCAGAUAUCAGGAGGAACACCCGUGGCGAAAGCGGCUCUCUGGGACGGUACUGACGCUGAGACGCGAAAGCGUGGGGAGCAAACAGG
rnacentral:rRNA from 1 species